GUAUACCUACGGGACGCAGCAGUGGGGAAUAUUGCACAAUGGGCGAAAGCCUGAUGCAGCAACGCCGCGUGAAGGAAGAAGGGUUUCGGCUCGUAAACUUCUAUCAACAGGGACGAAAGAAAUGACGGUACCUGAAUAAGAAGCCCCGGCUAACUACGUGCCAGCAACCGCGGUAAUACGUAGGGGGCAAGCGUUAUCCGGAAUUACUGGGUGUAAAGGGGGAGUAGGCGGCAUGGUAAGCCAGAUGUGACAGCCUUGGGCUUAACCCGAGGAUUGCAUUUGGAACUAUCAAGCUAGAGUACAGG
rnacentral:rRNA from 1 species